UAUGUGCAUAGGAUGUAUAUCUAUAUAGGUGCCAUCUGGUUUUCAAGUUGCCAUAUAUAUAUUUGUGGCUACCAUACUUAGAUAUGUUGUGCAAAAGGACACGAAAUAAGUUGAUUCACUUUGAAAGAUGAAUAAAGGGAUUCGUAGUGACGGAUAAACGAGAGGAAUAGUUCUAUUAUAACAGAGACAGGGUGGAGGAGCCUAAGGUCGAUGGCGAAUAGCAGCAAGAGGGAGGAUUCGUCUUCUCUACAACGAAUUGUAAAACGACAAGACUUGACGACUUCGAGAAUGUCAUCGGCAUCUUCCUCGCCUUCGUCAUCGGAUGAGACUGAGAGCAUCACCCGUCCUGGAAAUAAUUAUCGAGUCUUCAGUCUAUCAAAUCGCGUAUAUCGCGUUGAUACCGACCACACGACAGGUCCCGACUUGCCACGAAGAGAGGAAAACCCAUUUAGCUUUAAGCAUUUCCUUCAAAAUGAACCACAGACUAAUUACCAGCUUGCUGGAGCUAGACCCAAAGUUUAUUCUCCACCUGUUACGAGUCCUGAGCCUCCUGGAUUGGACACUGAAACUGGAGUUUAUCCUCGUAAUCCUACAGAGUUGCCUGAUUUUGUUCAGGAUCACUUAGUAAUUGAACAGUGCUACUUGAAUCAUGAGGCAGCUGCGCAACCUAUUGUCGAUUUGGAAAAUCUUCCAGACUUUGCAUUGAACAGUGUCGAGCAAAGACAACCUCGUCAUUGGAAUGAACCUAAAAAAAGCAAGUCAGAAGUCUUAGGGGACCUCCCCUUUGACUUAACUGGAACUUUAGAUAGGGGACGUAGAGAACGCUCUGUACCAAGUGCAGUGCCUCAAGGGCCUUUGGAUUUACCAGCCUUUGACAGGCCCAAUGAUGAACCCAUAGAGAGACCUGAAUCAAUAGGAUUCCCAUUUGAUUUACAAUUACCAUUAGCUGAAUCCGAUCCCAAUAAUUCCAGUACAGGUGCCAGAAGUUGUCCUCCAAGCAGUGAAGCUAAUGUAACAAAAUCAUUGCCUGAUUUUUUAAGUGAUGGUCCCAUUCGCACUAGAGCAGCUCCAACACCAGAUCUUGGUCCAGGAUCGAGUGUUCCAGAAUCCACAGACCGUAGGUUAAUACUUGAAAAUGAGAGAUUACGCCACGAUUUGGAAAUUAUUCGUCGACAAAAUGAUGAACGCGCAAGGCGGAUACAAUUGUUGGAAACGGAAUUGGCCACGAGGAGAGUCGUCGAUCACGAGGAAACAGCACACUUAGAAAAAGCCAUGGAACAAGUAGAAGAUAAUUUAAAACGCAGCACGAGAAGAGCCGUAAAUGCAGAAAGUACAGUAACUGCAUUGAAACAAGAAAUAAAAGUCCUAACGAGAUAUCGGUGCUGCGAGCUGAAAACAGGGAACUCAGAGCAGGCAUGGGAGCUGGUUACGGUGUAAAUACUCCAGGAAGUCUGGACGGUCGGAUAAGACGUUUGACCAGUGACCUAAAGACUGCAGCUUCUACCGCUGAAGUGUCUCUCCGGCAAUUAAUGACCGGUGUGGAUAAUCUGCGCGUUAUUGCAUCCGCCCUGGAGAACGUAGACAGGAUAGAGGAUAGGACCAAAGAUUUUCUACCUGACUUCGAGGAAGACAACGCUACGGGUCCAGCGUUAUAACGUCCUCUUGUUGAAAUUUUGAAUUCCCAUUGAAUCCCUUACUCGCGUCAAGUUCCUCGGCUCAUGUCACACCGCGUAACACUGCUAAUAGAUUUUACUUAUUCACACUGUGAAACAUGUUAUUUAUAACUUAUUUGUUGUACUUCUUCUUAUACGUUAAUAACGAUAGGUUCUAUUAAGAUCUAUUUAAAUGUCGAGUAAACCCUAUUUCGGGUUGGCUUAUCUAUCGCUCUUGGAUCAACCCCUAUUUGCUCGAUAACAAAAAUCAUCACAUGUUAAAUCAUCACUUUUGGAUUUUAUCAUCUACGACACGAUGCCAUCUGGGAUAAUUGAAUAAGCGACGAGAAGUUUUAAAAAUAUUCAAUUUUUUACACGAUCAACACAAUAUACAUUCUUUAAGGUGAAAAUGUAACGUAAUGGCUAUAUGCGUUUACACAGAUACCAAUGUUUUUCAUUGAGAAAAUUGCAUCGUCCUGCUUUUAUAAAUUAAUUAUAAUCCUUGUAAUAUCCGGCAAAUGUUUAUCCAUCAUAAAUGGCAUUGCAGCUUCGGUCUAUUUCCAAAUAUAAUAGUGGCGGCGGCAACGCUUUUGGAAAAAGCGAAAUUUCACGCGACCUAAACGAAAUUAAUCCUUGUAACUUUCUUGAAAAAUAUCGAGGAUAUACAUUCCGGUGCAAAAUCAACUAUCUACGUAUACGUAUCGUUAAUUGGUCAAAUCAAUUAAAAUAAAUCAUUUAUGUAUAUGAAAUUGAAAAA